rnacentral:rRNA from 1 species
AUACGGAGGAUCCGAGCGUUAUCCGGAUUUAUUGGGUUUAAAGGGUGCGCAGGCGGCCAUUUAAGUCAGCGGUUAAAUCGUGGGGCUCAACCCCAUUCUGCCGUUGAUACUGGGUGGCUUGAUUGCGGUCGAGGUUGGCGGAAUUCGUUGUGUAGCGGUGAAAUGCAUAGAUAUGACGAAGAACACCGAUUGCGUAGGCAGCUGACCAGACCGCAAAUGACGCUCAUGCACGAAAGUACGGGGAUCGAACAGGAUUAGAUACCCUGGUAGUCCGCACAGUAAACGAUGAAUACUUGUUUUCGGCGAUAUAAUGUCGGAGGCAAAGCGAAAGCGAUAAGUAUUCCACCUGGGGAGUACGCCGGCAACGGUGAAACUCAAAUGAAUUGACGGGG